rnacentral:rRNA from 1 species
AUUGAACGCUGGCGGCAUGCUUUACACAUGCAAGUCGAACGGCAGCACGGACUUCGGUCUGGUGGCGAGUGGCGAACGGGUGAGUAAUACAUCGGAACGUGCCCAGUUGUGGGGGAUAACUACUCGAAAGAGUAGCUAAUACCGCAUGAGAACUGAGGUUGAAAGCAGGGGAUCGCAAGACCUUGCGCAACUGGAGCGGCCGAUGGCAGAUUAGGUAGUUGGUGGGAUAAAAGCUUGCCAAGCCGACGAUCUGUAGCUGGUCUGAGAGGACGACCAGCCACACUGGGACUGAGACACGGCCCAGACUCCUACGGGAGGCAGCAGUGGGGAAUUUUGGACAAUGGGCGAAAGCCUGAUCCAGCAAUGCCGCGUGCAGGAUGAAGGCCUUCGGGUUGUAAACUGCUUUUGUACGGAACGAAAAGCUUCGGGUUAAUACCCUGGAGUCAUGACGGUACCGUAAGAAUAAGCACCGGCUAACUACGUGCCAGCCGCCGCUGUAAAAC